rnacentral:rRNA from 1 species
UGCCAGCAGUCGCGGUUAAACCAAGAAAUUUAGUCAUUCUUUUCCGGUAAAAAGACAGUUAGGCAACUGAAAAUCAUUAGACCUUUAAUGUAGGGGUAAAAUCUAAAUACUAAAGGUUAUACCAGAUAUGAUUUAUUUUAAAUGCUGAAUCUGUGACGACUUUAAGGGAAACUGGGAUUGGAUACCCCAUUAUUUUUAGUAGUAAAUUUAAUUUAAGUUUACCAGAGUACUACGAAUAAAAAAUUUAAAACUCAAAGAGCUUGGCGGUGUUUUAGACCUCUCAGGGGAACCUGUCUCGUAAUCGACAAUCCACGCUAUACCUGGCCCUUUAUAGCAAUUCAGUCUGUAUACCGUUGUCGUCAGGUAACUUCUUAAAAUAUAGUAGUUAGCUCGAGAAUUUUAUUAAUUAAUACGUCAGAUCAAGGUGCAGCUAAUAAAAGGGAGAGGAUGGGUUACAAUUAUAUAUUUAUAAUUACGGAAGAUAUUUCAAAAGAAAUACUCGGAAGGAGGACUUGAAAGUAAUUUUGAUUAGAUAAACAGAAUGAAUAAGGCUCUGAAACGUGCACACAUCGCCCGUCGCUCU